rnacentral:rRNA from 1 species
CGCGCCACGGGAAUACGUAGGGUGCAAGCGUUAAUCGGAAUUACUGGGCGUAAAGCGUGCGCAGGCGGUUAUAUAAGACAGAUGUGAAAUCCCCGGGCUCAACCUGGGAACUGCAUUUGUGACUGUAUAGCUAGAGUACGGCAGAGGGGGAUGGAAUUCCGCGUGUAGCAGUGAAAUGCGUAGAUAUGCGGAGGAACACCGAUGGCGAAGGCAAUCCCCUGGGCCUGUACUGACGCUCAUGCACGAAAGCGUGGGGAGCAAACAGGAUUAGAUACCCGAGUAGUCCCUGUCUCUUAUACAC